GGGGAUUUAGCUCAGUGGUAGAGCGCUUGCCUAGCAAGCGCAAGGCACUGGGUUCGGUCCCCAGCUCCA
rfam:Rattus norvegicus chromosome 1, whole genome shotgun sequence.